CAAAGCCGCGAGGCAGAGCAAACCCCUAAAAGCCAUCCCAGUUCGGAUUGCAGGCUGCAACCCGCCUGUAUGAAGUUGGAAUCGCUAGUAAUCGCGGAUCAGCAUGCCGCGGUGAAUACGUUCCCGGGCCUUGUAUACACCGCCCGUCACACCAUGAGAGUCGGGAACACCCGAAGUCCGUAGCCUAACCGCAAGGAGGGCGCGGCCGAAGGUGGGUUCGGUAAUUGGGGUGAAGUCGUAACAAGGUACC
rnacentral:rRNA from 1 species